GACGGAAGGUGCAAGCGUUGCUCGGAAUCACUGGGCGUAAAGGGCGCGUAGGCGGGAUGGCAAGUCGGUCGUGAAAUCCUUCGGCUCAACCGAAGAACGUCGGCCGAUACUGCCGUUCUUGAGGGAUGCAGAGGAGAUUGGAAUUCCCGGUGUAGCGGUGAAAUGUGUAGAGAUCGGGAGGAACACCGGUGGCGAAGGCGGGUCUCUGGGCAUCUCCUGACGCUGAGGCGCGAAAGCGUGGGGAGCAAACGGG
rnacentral:rRNA from 1 species